ACUUUACAAUGCCGGCAACGGCGAUAAGGGGACCUCGAGUGCCAGGUUACAAAUCUGGCUGUCGUGAUGCCUAAAAAGCAUUGCAUAGCAAGGGCCGGGCAAGACCGGUGCCAGCCGCCGCGGUAACACCGGCGGCUCGAGUGGUAACCGUUAUUAUUGGGUCUAAAGGGUCUGUAGCCGGCCGGAUAAGUCUCUUGAGAAAUCCAGCAGCUCAACUGUUGGGCUUUCAGGAGAUACUGUUCGGCUCGAGGCCGGGAGAGGUGAGAGGUACUUCAGGGGUAGGGGUGAAAUCUUGUAAUCCUUGAAGGACCACCAGUGGCGAAGGCGUCUCACCAGAACGGACCUGACGGCAAGGGACGAAAGCUAGGGGCACGAACCGGAUUAGAUACCCGGGUAGUCCUAGCCGUAAACGAUACUCGCUAGGUGUCGGCCACGGUGCGACCGUUUGUCGGUUGCCGUUAGGGAAGCCGUGAAGCGAGC
rnacentral:rRNA from 1 species